CGGGUGAGUAAUACAUCGGAACGUGUCUUCUAGUGGGGGAUAACUGCCCGAAAGGGCAGCUAAUACCGCAUGAGACCUGAGGGUGAAAGCGGGGGAUCGCAAGACCUCGCGCUGGAAGAGCGGCCGAUGUCCGAUUAGCUAGUCGGUGAGGUAAAGGCUCACCAAGGCGACGAUCGGUAGCUGGUCUGAGAGGACGACCAGCCACACUGGGACUGAGACACGGCCCAG
rnacentral:rRNA from 1 species